UUGUUUUGGAACCAGGCCCGGAUUUGUGGCGAGGCCACAUAGGCCCAGGCCUAGGGCGGCAAAAUUUUAAGGGCGGCAUGCCGCCCUGCUGCAUGCCGCCCUGCUGCAUCCAAGGAAGCACUUGGUGCUCCAAUACUGAAUAGUGCACUCGCUUGAGCAUAGGGGCCGGCACUUUGGACAAUACGUCUGGCGCUAAGACCACACAGUGAAGGGAGGGCGCACACACGAAGCGUCAGGGCACUGGCCUUGGGGCGCGGCUUUCAGAAAUCCAGCCCUGUUUGGAACCACAAUAAUCCCAUCAUGCCAAAUUCUCCACUAUUUAAUUUCUUUGUUCCCAACUUUUCUUCACCUCUUUUCCUUCCCUCAAUUAAACUCCAGUACUGUCACCUUCCACCCAAUUCUACUUUUGCUCAGCCAUUAAAAUGAUUUUAUUGCCGAAUACCUAACUUGUGUUUGCUUUUGUAUUUUCUACCUUUCCCUAUGCAGUGUAGAAUUGACCUGCCUUCCCUUCCAGAAAAUUUUCUUAUAUGUUUUUUGUUUCUCUUCCUCCGUCAAAGCAAAGGUGGGCAGAGUGUGAAUACUGGUAAUUGAAUUAGCCCACUCACUUGGAUUACAGGAAUAUAAGAUAACAGUGAAAAUUUCCAGUGAAGACUGGGGAAGAAGAGGAAAGGAGAAAGAAGAGUGGUAAAACCAGAAAGCUCCGGCUAAGCCUCUGUCUAAUUUUAUUGGCCUGAAUAUGUAUCUGAUCCCAGUCAUGAGCGGAAGGACAUAAGCGCAUUCGGAAGGUACUGCAGCAACAGCUUCUGGGCCCAAUGGUCCGAACUAGGGGAAGGCAUCAGAAGAGGCUUAAAUUGUGGCCAAGAGAAUUUGCACUCAGAGGAGAACAUCUGUGACUCCCCCGAGCUUUUGUUGCUGAGUCGUGGCCAGAAUUGGUCAGUCUGUAACAGAAGUGUAACCGAAGCCUCACUACAAAGAUAUCGAGGCAGAGCUGAAUGAGAGAAAACAUACGAGAGUGUCCACUAAACAGUGCAGAGAAGACUUUGGUGUGGUUGAAGGGUCGUGUGGUUGCUCAGAAACCUGAGUUAAGGAAACAAAAUGGGUUACUAGGCUUGUUUGGGCUGAGGAACACAUGAACUGGACUCCUGCUUAAUGGUAUAAGGGAAAUAUGAAUUCAAGUAUGGCAAUUUUUGGUUUAUCACAACAGGUUUUUGUAGGUCUUCCACUGAUUGACUUGCGUUUAAAUUAAAGCAGCUACCGGAGUAGUGGCAUCAGCAUCUUGUCAUAUCCUUGUAAAACCACUAAAAUGUCCUUAUCUGCUGGUAUUAGACUUAUUUGUGUCCCCAUGGUUUUCCUGUUGGCUUGUAGCCAGUGCUUAAUAUAAAAUAAUAGCAACUUUUCGUUGUCAUUGGUGAAAGCUGCCCACUGGAAAAUCCUGCAUGCUACUUUAUUCACGUGCAUCUCACCUAUCAAUUACAAAUAAUUCAAUUUUUUAAAAACAAUUUCCUUUCUUCCUAUAAUAGUAAAACAGUAGCUUGAACAAGUAUGGGAACCAUUUAUUCAGAAUGUUCAGGAUCUGGGAUUCCUGGAUGUAUUAGUAGGAGUUUUUUUUCAAUAAUGGCUCAUGGUAAUACUCUGAUUAAACCCAAUAGCUCAUCGCAAUACUUUGAUAAAGAA